GCCCUGGUGGCUCAACGGUUAAGCACUUAGCUACUAACCAAAAAGUUGGUGGUUCAAACCCACCCAGCGGCU
rfam:Loxodonta africana unplaced genomic scaffold scaffold_45, whole genome shotgun sequence.